GGUUUAAUCUAAGCUUCUGCUGUGUAUGGACCUGUGGCUACAUUACAAAAUUCAGUUGUGAAGAUAUAAAAUCAAUUAGUCUAGACCUCAAAUCUUUAUUUCCUAUGAAAAGCCUCAGACUUGUAGCUGUAUGAACAAGUGUUUUUGGAUUUUUUUUUUUUUUUUGCUAGAACAGAGAGAACACACUGGAGAUCACAAAUGCAUUUAUUCUUUUUCACCAUUUCAUUGGCCUUAAAAAAUACUAGGCUAAACUUAAGUGGUAAAGAUCUGAAAUAAAAAGAUUCAUCUUUAUGUUUGAACAGCAGUUUUUCAUUGGUCUCUAAUAUCUUGCAUUUCCUUAUCUAUGGAUAAGGAGAUCUGGAAUUGAUCUACAUUUUCUUUAGUAAUGUUUUCUCUGUUUAUUGGGAACAGAUAUCUUCAUCUCCUUCAUGCAUUAUCCUUAGUAACAGAUGUCAGUAGGUUCCAGAGCCAUUUUGGAGUUUACCAAGGAUUAAGGAUGAGCACACAUCACAUCAAGAGUCUAAAUAUCACUUUGGAGGCCAUGUACAGAUCAGAUUUGGAAGUGACCAAGACUGGAGGCAGGGACACCAGAGUUUUCUGUUAAAAACUGGUCCAUGCAAGAAAAGAUGACUCCUGAAAUAAGACAGUGGUCAUUAGGAUGAAGAGGAACAGAAGAUUUGAGGAAUACUUAGAACAGAAUUUACUGAAUUUACUGGUUGAAUUGAAUGUGAAGAGGAGAUGAAUAAAGAAGAAAAUACCCUCAAAGGGAACCCUGAGCAGAACACAUGCACAAACUCAUGCCAUACCCUAAGGGACAAGGUUCCCCACAUCUACUUGGAAAUCUUCGGGAUGCUCAAUGGAGAAGAACAAGGAGAAAAAAAUCUAAACCCAACAGAAGAGAAAGUUUCAAGAAAGAGGUCGUCGCCAAUACCAAAAUUAGCUAUGAUAUUCAGGAAGAAAAAAAUGGAAACACGAUAAUCACAUUCAAUAAAGACCAAGGCUAGAUUCCAUUGGCCGGAGCUCAGCCACGCGUCCACACCUGGCUAAAGAGAGACUCUGGCUGAAGAAUUCCCUGAAUAUUUUAAUAUAGCUCUGGUUAUAACACAGAACAACCACAAGGUGGCAGAAGAACUCCAUUCUUGUAAAUCUCUUAGUUGCUUCUUUAUUUCAUCUUCCCUAUUCCAUCUAAUGUUCCUUGAAUUUUACUAUUUUGUUGGUUUGAAAAUAUGUGUGACUUACGUACUUUAAAGGAUUUGGUUGCUAAAGUUUUAAAUAGACUGGAAUAUAAAACAUUUAUAGAAAAGAAAAAUACCUACAGUAUGAUGAACUAUUAAUAAUCCAAUUAAAUAAAAUAUAUUUGCUUUAGAUUAAUACA
rnacentral:lncRNA from 1 species